rnacentral:misc_RNA from 1 species
CCAAUAGCGUAUAUUAAAGUUGUUGUGGUUAAAAAGCUCGUAGUUGAACCUUGGGCCUGGCUGGCCGGUCCGCCUCACCGCGUGUACUGGUCCGGCCGGGCCUUUCCCUCUGUGGAACCCCAUGCCCUUCACUGGGUGUGGCGGGGAAACAGGACUUUUACUUUGAAAAAAUUAGAGUGCUCCAGGCAGGCCUAUGCUCGAAUACAUUAGCAUGGAAUAAUGAAAUAGGACGUGUGGUUCUAUUUUGUUGGUUUCUAGGACCGCCGUAAUGAUUAAUAGGGACAGUCGGGGGCAUCAGUAUUCAAUCGUCAGAGGUGAAAUUCUUGGAUCGAUUGAAGACUAACUACUGCGAAAGCAUUUGUCAAGGAUGUUUGCAUUAAUCAGGAACGAAAGUUAGGGGAUCGAAGACGAUCAGAUACCGUCGUAGUCUUAACCAUAAACUAUGCCGACUAGGGAUCGGACGAUGUUAUUUUUUGACUCGUUCGGCACCUUACG